AAUCAACGCUGGCGGCGUGCCUAACACAUGCAAGUCGAACGCGAAAGUCCCGCAAGGGGCAAGUAGAGUGGCGCACGGGUGAGUAACACGUGGAUAACCUGCCUUCGAGUGAGGAAUAACCUUCCGAAAGGAGGGCUAAUACCGCAUAACACCUUGAGACAAAAGUCUCGAGGUUAAAAGGAGCAAUUCGCUUGAAGAGGGGUCCGCGCCUGAUUAGCUAGUUGGUGAGGUAACGGCNCACCAAGGCUAUGAUCAGUAGCCGUCCUGAGAGGGAGCACGGCCACACUGGAACUGAGACACGGUCCAGACUCCUACGGGAGGCAGCAGUGGGGAAUUUUUGGCAAUGGGCGAAAGCCUGACCAAGCAACGCCGCGUGGGUGAUGAAGUAUCUUGGUACGUAAAACCCUUUCGGCAGGAACGAACACAAUGACGGUACCUGCGGAAGAAGCCCCGGCUAACUCCGUGCCAGCAGCCG
rnacentral:rRNA from 1 species